UUUAUGCAAAUGCGUUUUGUACAAGAAUGGUCGAAAGGACAAAUGGGUCAUACAGGUCAGAUGGCGAUCGCCAUUUGAACUCGGUAGCUAAUGUUUUGGUUGUUAAGUUUUAUACUCAUAAGUAAACUUGAUGAAUAGACGCGCAAUGUCACUAACCGGAAAGGAAUGAUUACCGUAAAGUAUGGAUAAUGAAUCAAUGGAAUUUACUUCCGUCAGGUACGUAUAAAAAGGGUUGUAACUUUAGUAUGAGGUUAUGACUCGACUAGAGAGGGAUGCGUCAGAAUAGAAUAUGUGUAUACAAAACCGUAAUGAAAAAUGUGAAGUGAACUUCUAAAUGUUCGUAAUGAUCAUCGAGUGGUAUUGAACCUGAAUGCUCAUAACUGUGGAAAUUCUGAUAGAAUAUAAGAGACGACAAGUAUCGUUAAGAAAUGCUAACUUUGAUGCUCGGCUUGUUGGCCAUGUUCAUUUGAACAACAUAUUGUAGGAAAGAUACGCAUGGCACGUAUAACAAUAGUAACCAUGGAAAUGAAUAAAAUAAUGAUGACUAGGGAUUGGUUAUCGCAAGAAAAUUUAAAAUCUUGAUAAGUAUGAACAAUACGUUAGGAUGCUAGUUUCAAAUUGUGGACUAUGGGAUGUGUGAUUAGUCAAUUUCUCACAACAUUCUUAUGUAAGUCGUCCAAUGUAACUUGAAUGAGUGGAUGAACGAAGAAUAAGACUAGACGGGUUGUAGAAGAAAAGAAAGAGGUUUCGGGGACGAAACCUUCUUUAAGGGGGGUAGACUUGUAACACCCCAAAAAUGAUAAAUAAUAAAUAAAGAAAUUAACUUGGUUAAUGAAAGUCAUGAUAUAAUGAUAAUUAGUUAAAUAAAAAAGGCUAAGUUAAAAACUCUCCCAAAGUGGGAGGGCUAAUUGUGUAACUAGUGAAUAAAAAGGGUUAAUUGAGAAAUUAACAAAACAAAAACACAAACACGGUUGUGUUCGUGCGAACCAGGGGAGGAAGAAAGGGGAGCCAAAAACCCUAACUGCUAGAUAUCAAGAAAUUGAAGCCUAAAUCACAAGAAAAUUCGAUGCAUGGGUCCUCUUUUUCGAAAAUCUAACCCUAACUAAUGAAGUGGAACGUGUCAAGGAGAGCUCAAGCAUAGGAGGAUAACGGGUCAAGAUAAGGCAAGGUGACAAAUACACUUAUUGGAAUACUCAAGGUUAUGAAUGUCGGACUUUCGAAGUGUUGAUAUAAUAAUGAAACGGUUGAAUGUUGAAAGGAUAAUCGGAUUGAAGUAACUUAUGCGGUUAGAAUAUGCUAUGGACGUUUUAGUUUAUACAAUAUUAUAUGUUUGGUCGUCACCAUCUACUAACAGGUAAUUCCUCAAUUUUGGCGACUUGGAGAAUCGGAGCGAGCGCGUGUUCGUGUUAUGCGAUACCAAACGCUUCCGCUAGCUUGUUCAAAUGUUUUUGAUCCAAAAUUUGUUGUAUUGGUAUUUAGUAGUAUCUUGUUGAACGAAUUGUAGAAUUGUAUCUAGUUUGUUUAUGUUUUAAACAGGGGUAUGCUCGUUUUAUGGACGGGUCAUGCCCGAUUUUUUUGUUAAAUUAUAGUUUGAUAAUAUCACAUUUAGGAAGGUGAAA